UACGUAGGGUGCGAGCGUUGUCCGGAAUUAUUGGGCGUAAAGAGCUUGUAGGCGGUUUGUCGCGUCUGCUGUGAAAAUCCGGGGCUCAACCCCGGACUUGCAGUGGGUACGGGCAGACUAGAGUGUGGUAGGGGAGACUGGAAUUCCUGGUGUAGCGGUGAAAUGCGCAGAUAUCAGGAGGAACAACGAUGGCGAAGGCAGGUCUCUGGGCCACUACUGACGCUGAGAAGCGAAAGCAUGGGGAGCGAACAGG
rnacentral:rRNA from 1 species